rnacentral:rRNA from 1 species
AUGGAGCUGUGGAGGUUCUGGAUCUUCUCCUUCUCGUCGCUCUCGCGCGGAUGGCGCGCGUCGUGGGCGACCGUGCGGAUGCCGCCGUACGGUGGUGUGCAGCCCAAGGCUUUACACCUGGGCGGGCUCUCGUACUGGCUUUGCAACCGGGGCGACGUGCUCUGGUACAACUACGGCGCCGACGCGGCGGGCAAGCUGCCGCCGCCGCCGCACGGGAAGAAGAGGCCGUCCUCCCUGAUCCACGGAGGUGGGUUCAUGGAGGGCAGCAGGGAGCUGGUGGCGUGGCGCGGGCGGAUCGCGAUGGUGUCGGCGAGCCCUGCCCUGCUGGCCGUGUGGGCGCUGUCGUCGUCGCCCUCCUCAGGCAACGCUUCGUCGCCGGCGCGGUGGGAGAUGGUGCACCGGAGGAGCUGGCACGAAAUCCCUGGCAUGGCGCCCCCCGCGUCGCGCUUCCUCUGGUCGGUGGUGCCGGCGGGAGUGGACGUCGGCGCGGAGGAGGUCUUGGGCCUGGCGGUGCGGAUCGGGUACAGGCAGCGCCGCCGCGUGGGUGGUGGUGGUGACAACGAGAAUGUGUGGCGUCGCGAGGUGUUGCGGUACGACAUGCGUACCGACGCCACGGCCACGGUGGCGGAACUCGUCGGCAGGGAGAAGCACGACGACUUCGUCGUCUUCGGCUACCACUCCAGCAUGGCGCCAUUGUACUAG